UCGCCUGUUUUACAAAAACAUCGCCUCUUGACAAAACAUAAGAGGUCCAGCCUGCCCAGUGACAAAGUUCAACGGCCGCGGUACCCUAACCGUGCGAAGGUAGCAUAAUCACUUGUUCUUUAAAUGAGGACUCGUAUCAACGGCACUACGAGGGCUAUACUGUCUCCUUUUUCUAAUCAGUGAAACUGAUCUCCCCGUGAAGAAGCGGGGAUCAAAAUAUAAGACGAGAAGACCCCAUGGAGCUUUAAACUCACCACGCACCUCUGUGUCCUCAUACCCUUAAACACAAGAGAUCUACGUGCUAGUUUUAGGUUGGGGGGACCACGGAGUAUAACUUAACCUCCAUAACAAAUGGGCUAACACCCUUAUCCAUGAGACACAGCUCUAAGAAUUACUAAACUAAUGCUUAUGACCCGAUAUUCGAUCAAUGAACCAAGUUACCCUGGGGAUAACAGCGCAAUCUACUUCAAGAGCCCAUAUCGACAAGUAGGUUUACGACCUCGAUGUUGGAUCAGGGUAUCCCGGUGGUGCAACCGCUACCGAUGGUUCGUUUGUUCAACGAUUAAAACCCUACGUGAUCUGAGUUCAGACCGGAAUAUUCCUGGUUGCAUAAUCGACGUCGUAAACCUACUUGAGAUAUAUCCCGGGCCGAAAACCGCCUACUUCCCCCGGGUUCUUGGUCCA
rnacentral:rRNA from 20 species